GAGAAAGAGAGAGAGAAAUCGGGACAGACCGAUUCCACCCCCCCUCCUUCUUUCUUCUUUCUUUUUUUUCUCUCCUCCCUUCUCUUUUCUUUUCUACAACCGGAGCCCAUUUCCGGCGAAACCACCACCACCAACCGCACCACCGGUCAUUUGAGGAGCUUCUCUUCCUCCUCUUGCAUCUAAGCUUAUUUUGGCCUGUGGAGGAAGAAUCAAGGUGGAGGUUGACGGUGAACAGUAGUGUGAACAGUGAGCUGAGUUCUUGAUUUUUUUUUUUAUUGAAAUUUCGACUAUUUUCUGCUUGGUUUUGGGUGUUAUUGCAGGUUUAGAAGUUGAUGGGUGUGUUGUUGAGAUGAUUUUGAACUUGUUUUAAGCUUGAGGUUGUUUGCUUUGAGAUUUCUUGGAGAAUUGAUGUUGGUUAAGUUUGUUUUGAAUAUUAUGGUUUAUAAUUUUAUGGGUUGCUGAGUCUCUUGGUAAAAGGCUAUUGUUGAAUUAUUUUGUUGGGAAAUUAGAGAGGAGAUUGUGGUUUAAAAAGGGAAAAUUAAGAAAGAAUUGGAAAUUUUGGAAAGGGAAUUAUUUUAUGAUGUGGUGGUUAAUUAUGGUUGAGGAAUCGAAAUAAAAAUCGGUUGAAUGGUUAAGAGUUUUGAGGGCAUUGAGAUUGUAAGGAAUUCUGGAAUUCGAGAAUUGAAUCCUAAAUUGAGGAAUGGGUUGUUAGAGGAAAUUUCUUAUGAGUAAUGAGUAUUAAUUUCCGAAGGAUUAAGCUUUGUCUCUUAGAUUAAUUUCUUAUUGAGGUUAAUUAUAUCCUGCAACUUGUGACAGGACGUACUGAGCCCUCGAGCGAGGAGGACACGGGCAGGCAGCAGGAUUAGCUGCGGGACUUACUAAUUUCAGAUUUGCCGAGAUCAUGUCCAGGCUCUAGAGACUUUGGAAUCAGCGCUUUCGUUUUGUCCAUAAGUUAUUACUUAACCUACCUUGUAUGAUAUCGGCUUAGUUAUUAGUGUUGCUCUGAUAACCCUUUUUAAUUUGAUGGAUGUUUUUGUUCGGAUUGAUGUUGUUUACGGAGGUUAUGUUGGGAUUUGAACUUUCCGAAUGUAAUAUAUGUGCUUGGAAUGUAAAAAUGGUAUUGUGGGUUGAGUAGAAGUUAAAGUUUUAAUCA